rnacentral:rRNA from 1 species
AAAUUGAAGAGUUUGAUCAUGGCUCAGAUUGAACGCUGGCGGCAGGCCUAACACAUGCAAGUCGAACGGUAACAGGAAGAAGCUUGCUUCUUUGCUGACGAGUGGCGGACGGGUGAGUAAUGUCUGGGAAACUGCCUGAUGGAGGGGGAUAACUACUGGAAACGGUAGCUAAUACCGCAUAACGUCGCAAGACCAAAGAGGGGGACCUUCGGGCCUCUUGCCAUCGGAUGUGCCCAGAUGGGAUUAGCUAGUAGGUGGGGUAACGGCUCACCUAGGCGACGAUCCCUAGCUGGUCUGAGAGGAUGACCAGCCACACUGGAACUGAGACACGGUCCAGACUCCUACGGGAGGCAGCAGUGGGGAAUAUUGCACAAUGGGCGCAAGCCUGAUG